UACGUAGGGUGCGAGCGUUGUCCGGAAUUACUGGGCGGAAAGAGCUCGUAGGCGGUUUGUCGCGUUGUCCGUGAAAACUCACAGCUCAACUGUGGGCGUGCGGGCGAUACGGGCAGACUGGAGUACUGCAGGGGAGACUGGAAUUCCUGGUGUAGCGGUGGAAUGCGCAGAUAUCAGGAGGAACACCGGUGGCGAAGGCGGGUCUCUGGGCAGUAACUGACGCUGAGGAGCGAAAGCGUGGGGAGCGAACAGG
rnacentral:rRNA from 1 species